UUGGUCCGCCUUUUAGGCGAUUAAUCGGAUUAUUAGGUAAUUGUUCGGAUUUCCGACUAGCUUAACCGAGUAGACCAAAAUCGCGGCGGUUACUCUCCGUCGAGCACCUAAUCGGUCGCCUAAUUGGCUAGGCGGCUGAGUUUUAGAACAGGGGUUAUACCCCUACUGAAAACAAGUUACCGGUCAAAACAAAAGGAGAGAUGACAUCGAUGACUUAAUAGAUGGAUCACAUUCACUAUGUACUGUUAAUUAACAAAUCAAGCAAAUAUAUCCACGUCACAUGCUUUCUUACCACGUAUAUGUUAACUGUGCUAUAUAAAUGUUUUAUUCCAUUUAUAAAAGUAUUAUGUUUGAUAGAAACAAACAUAACACCUUCAUAUGAAACAGAACUAGAAACCUUAAACUCAAUUCCACACCUAAAUACUACGCCCUAAACUCGAAUCUCUAAACUAAAACUCAAAUAUUAAAUCUAAUUUCUAAUUAUAAUAAUUUUAAAAAAUAAAAUAAAAUAAAGAUAUAUAAAAUUUGAACUAUUGUUCUACUAUCUAAAAUAGAGUGGAGACUAUUCUUCAGAACUAAUGCAUUUGUGUUCAACCUUAACCCACCUCCAACCAAAAUAGUAUAUAACACCAAUCCCAUCCCAACCCCUCAAUAAUAAACCAUAUAACAACCCUACCAUAAACCCUUAAAUACUUAACCUUAAACCAUAAUCAUUAUACCCUAAACUCAAAUAUAAACCCUAAAUUCAAAUAUAAACUCUCGACCUAAAUAGAAUGGAACUAAAUAAAUAGCAUAAUACAUAUUGGUGAAAAUAUUAAAUGUCUAUGAUAUUAUCGAAGAAGUUAAUGCUAAUUCCAUCUUUACCUCCUUCACCUACAAAAUACUAUACCCUAAACUUUAAUCCCUAAACCCUAAACCCAAAUAUAAACCAUAAACCCAAAUAUUAAAAGUAUAUAAACAUUAUCAUUCUACAUUAGGCAUAUAGAAUAGAAAAUCUGAAAAUGUAGUUACAAUCUAAAACUCAUCUUAACAUAUUUUUCAAAUAUUGAUAUGGUUAUGCCUUCAUGGAAGAUGGUAAUUCUUGUCACAAUAUCAACCCCAACCAUACAUAAACUAAACCCUACACGGAAAUAUAAACCCUAAUCCAAUAUCAACCCCAAUCUUUCAUAAACUAAACCCUAGCCACUAAUCACUAAACCCUAUAUGGAAUAUAAACUUUUAUCCAACCUCAAACUCAA
rnacentral:lncRNA from 1 species